rnacentral:rRNA from 1 species
UAGCGUAGGGCGCAAGCGUUGUCCGGAAUUAUUGGGCGUAAAGAGCUCGUAGGCGGUUUGUCGCGUCUUGCUGAUGAAAACCUAAGGCUCAACCCUUGGGCUUGCAGUGGGGUACGGGCAGAACUAGAGUGCGGUAGGGGUGACUGGAAUUCCUGGUGUAGCGGUGGAAAUGCGCAGAUAUCAGGAGGAACACCGAUGGCGAAGGCAGGUCACUGGGCCGCAACUGACGCUGAGGAGCGGAAAGCAUGGGGGAGCGAACAGG